ACGCGAUGACAUAGCUUGUCCCGUGUCGUACGCCGGAGGCAGUGCCGUACUCCUCGUGAGCACGGACCAGCAGCGGUUGAGCCGGAGCCACAAGACCGCAGGGAAGGUGAGUCGAUGAGCACCUGUCGCACAUUGACGGCAUAUAGCCCUGCGGCACGGCGCUCCGGUCCGACCGAGGAAGGAGGGCAGCCCUUGCCCGUCGUGGUACACGCCGUAUGGCGGGGCCUCCCGACACAAGUGAACCAUGCGGUGUGGACUGCACGCAGUGCACAUCGUGGUGGGGAUCUUGUGGCGGAGAGUGCCACCUGUGUGCCAGUGCUGCUGGUAUUCAGAC
rnacentral:misc_RNA from 1 species